rnacentral:rRNA from 1 species
ACUCGUAAGAGGAUGUAUAGGGUGUGACGCCUGCCCGGUGCUCGAAGGUUAAUUGAUGGGGUUAGCAUUAGCGAAGCUCUUGAUCGAAGCCCGAGUAAACGGCGGCCGUAACUAUAACGGUCCUAAGGUAGCGAAAUUCCUUGUCGGUUAAAUACCGACCUGCAUGAAUGGCGUAACGAGAUGGGAGCUGUCUCAAAGAGGGAUCCAGUGAAAUUGUAGUGGAGGUGAAAAUUCCUCCUACCCGCGGCAAGACGGAAAGACCCCGUGGACCUUUACUACAGCUUGACACUGCUAUUUGGAUAAGAAUGUGCAGGAUAGGUGGGAGGCUUUGAGUAUAUGACGCCAGUUGUAUAUGAGCCAUUGUUGAGAUACCACUCUUUCUUAUUUGGGUAGCUAACCAGCUUGAGUUAUCCUCAAGUGGGACAAUGUCUGGUGGGUAGUUUGACUGGGGCGGUCGCCUCCCAAAUAAUAACGGAGGCUUACAAAGGUUGGCUCAGAACGGUUGGAAAUCGUUCGUAGAGUAUAAAGGUAUAAGCCAGCUUAACUGCAAGACAUACAAGUCAAGCAGAGACGAAAGUCGGUCUUAGUGAUCCGGUGGUUCUGUGUGGAAGGGCCAUCGCUCAAAGGAUAAAAGGUACCCCGGGGAUAACAGGCUGAUCUCCCCCAAGAGCUCACAUCGACGGGGAGGUUUGGCACCUCGAUGUCGGCUCAUCGCAUCCUGGGGCUGGAGCAGGUCCCAAGGGUAUGGCUGUUCGCCAUUUAAAGCGGUACGCGAGCUGGGUUCAGAACGUCGUGAGACAGUUCGGUCCCUAUCUGCCGUGGGCGUAAGAAGAUUGAAGAGAUUUGACCCUAGUACGAGAGGACCGGGUUGAACAAACCACUGGUGUAGCUGUUGUUCUGCCAAGAGCAUCGCAGCGUAGCUAAGUUUGGAAAGGAUAAACGCUGAAAGCAUCUAAGCGUGAAGCCAACUCUAAGAUGAAUCUUCUCUAAGCUCUCUAGAAGACUACUAGUUUGAUAGGCUGGGUGUGUAAUGGAUGAAAGUCCUUUAGCUGACCAGUACUAAUAGAGCGUUUGGCUUAUCUUUAAUAAAGCAU